rnacentral:lncRNA from 1 species
AAGUAUGUUUCUGGUGCGCUCACUGGUCCUAAACCGGCAGGUGGAUAUACUUACCGAUGGUUUACAUGUGGAGAAAUAGCCCUGCCCAAUAUUUCACGGUUAGUGCUGGAACUAGGACUCAAAUUCAGGUUUCCUGGCUCCAAUUCUACACUUGCUCCAGUAUAUAAUGUUGUCAUUUGAAGGUGUUCAGAGCCAGCAGACGUAGGAGUCUGGACUCAGACGCUCAGAAAAAAUUUCUGCAUAGACAAUUACUAUUCUUACUCAUUCAGCUAUUUGGCACAUAACUCAAAAAAGAAAUGAACACUUGGCACGCCAUUUUGGGCAGGUUGUCCCUAUGGUGAUGUGUCUCUUAGGAGGAUCUUCUCUGCAUUUCGUGUACAGAUUUCUCCCGAAUCUCACAGAAGCAAUAUUGGAACAGAAAGUGAAACUAUAUUGCUUCUGACAAGCCUGCCCGCUGCGUGGCUUUUCCAGCUACACUGACUAGCAUUGUGUUCACCUGGAGAGAGGAGAUUCUAAACCAUCCACUCCCUGCUGAUCCUUAGUUUCUGGCUGGUGACACACCAGAAGGAUAGGAUGGCUCCAAUCUCCCUGAUGAAGGGGUAAUCACCUGACUUUCUCUUGGAAACAGAGGCACUGGUUCAGGUCCACAACAUUGAACUUGGAGAGCAAUAACCUCUGUGUGCACAG